GGCAUAGUCAGCUGAUGUCACAGAUAGUCUUGAAAGGCUCCCAAGACCGUUUGGCUCCCCUUUUGCCAUUCUCUUGCUAAGGGCCCAGGCCAUGCUGCACAGUCCUCGUUUAAAAGAUGGCCUUCCUCUUGCUCGCCUUUAAAAGGGAGAGAGGAUCCAGGAGGAAGGGGCUGUGGGUAUUUUCACACUGGGCGAUCAAAGCACCUUUGAACCGCUUCCGGAGUGCGCGGCCUAUGCGCCCGCCGGCCCGCACUGCACAGGAAUCGAGAGAAAAGCCAUCCCGAGACUGUUCCUCUGCCUUACAGCCACGGACUUGGCCAGGCAUUGCUGAACGCGGAAACACUGUUUAGGUUGCAGUUCCACGCACAGUUGCUUCGCAGUCAGCCUCAGGUAAGAACGCGGAUCACACACAGUGAAGCUCGUCGAUGAACGCGCCCCGGGCCGUGACUCUAUCGGGGUUUUUGACUGGUGCCCUAGGCCGCCUAGAAAGCCCGCCAUGGCGGCUGCCAGGGGAUUUCCGGGACGGCUGGGCUGGAUGGCAGCAGCUGCUCCUUGACACGAGGUGCUGGUGGCGGCCUUCUCUUCCUGCCUCCUCUCCGCCUUGCACGUGUUGUCCCUUUUGGAAAGCGCAGCGCCUUGGCUGAAGGGCACGCGGGAGUGGCUGGCUCGGUUUCCCAAACUUUGCCAGUUCUCAUGCCCGUGCCAGUGGAGGCACACGCUGCCUGAUGCAUCCCGCGUCGUCGCACCGAGGUUGGGAACAAUAGCGCGAAGCGCUCUCGGUCCUCGCGCCUGCACCAGGCCGGAGGUUGGCUGCGCCUCUUUGUGCGACCACGUGGCAGACACUGCGCGCAUUCAUCAACCCAGACGGGAGAUCGCGGCCAGUGCUUAGCUACUUGGGUCCAAACGACUUUCAAGAGAAGUAAAUGCCGUCCCUCCUCCUUCCGCUCCAGUUCGGGGCCAGCUGGGAUUCGACCAGAAAGCGCAGCCAGGGCCAGAUAAAAAUGAACGCACCGUCCAAAAAUCACCGACCAGCCGCUUGACUUCUGGGCUGCCAGCUGAGAAGAUGCAACUGGAUCCUUCUGGUUACAAAAAGGGGGACAAAGUAGAGGAAAGGGCGAGGGUGGUGAGAUCUCUGCUGGUUAACAUUCUAUGUUCGGUUGUUUGUGUGAUUGCCCUCAACUUAUACCCGCGUAACUCUCCUCCACAGUAAACCUCAAACCGUGUGCAGCCCAGCACAGGGACUUCUCUGGUAGGUGAUCCGGAGUCACACUUGACGAGGACUAAAAAGGUUUAUUAUAGUCCCUGUUGCCAAGGGGCGUCCUCCGACAAAUGAACGUACUCAAGAAGAUAAAAACAAACAAAACAACCCAAUUAUGUUACCCCGGAAAAGGCCUUGGUAGUCUUCAUGUUCUAAAUUUCCCUGAAGCUGAACGAAAAAUGGGGCUGCCAAGAACCAUCGCAGUAGUGCCCACCGAAGGAACGAAAAGGAAAUGACUGAGCUGGUUAAUCCACUCUGCCAUGCAACUGGAAGAGCAGCACCGGCAGAGGCGACACUAGAAAAAGAUGGAGGCGGGGCACACAAUGGGCAGAUUGCAUUUCUGGGAGGGUGAGCGGUGCCCCCACAUGUUAGAUUUCUGAAACAGAAUUGAGGGUAAGGGGUGUGUGUGUGUGUGUGUGUGUGUGAACUACUUGUCUGAGGGGGCGCUCCCUCCCUUGCACCCUUCCCUUAAGCUUGCACCGGAGAAGCAGAGACGGCGCAAACAGGAGAGUUGAGGUAGGCUGGUUCAUACACUGGGAGCGCUAGACUGCCAGCCCUCAUCCCCCCCCCCUUCCUCCAAAGCAAUGGCUCUCCUUCCAAAUGCAUUCUUCCUUCCUCAUCAAGCUCAGCAGACUUUCAGACACUGCCACCUCCUCUAGGGAAUACACCCUGAGCUCCUAGGAACUCUCUUGCAACUUGAACAAAUUCCCACAGUUCAUGAACAAUUAAAGGGGUUCCUUUAUCUAUAUAUAUAUUUCUCCUAGGUGUGCCUGGGGAAAAUGCGUUCCAGCAGCCCAGCUGAUUGCCCGGGCCUGCGGAGGCGCUUGAUUGGCUGGCACACCCAGGAGGAGGAGAAUUGGCUGGCCCACGCUGGCGGGCCUGGCCUCGUGACUGUGGUGGCCCUUCAACAAAAGUAUCUGCACCCUGGCUCUGUCUUGACAGAAGCUUUAGUCCUUGAACACCAGAAUCCUGUGCAGUUUCCUUCUGGCUUUUGAUAUUUUUCAGGUACAUUCUGGCUUUUGAUUGCCUGAUUUUAUCAGGCAAUGCCUUUCUGACUCUAGCAAGCGAGAGAGGCGCUGGGGGAGAGCGUGAGCGAGAGAGGCGCAGGGGGAAGAGACUGAGCGAGCGAGAGAGGCACGGGGAGAGACAACACGAGCGAGAGAGGGGCGCGGGGGAGAGACAGCGCGAGCGAGGCGUGCGGGGGAGAGACAGAGCGAGCGAGAGAGGCACGGGAGGGGAGAGACAGCGCCAGCGAGAGAGGCGUGGGGGGGGGAGACAGCACGAGCGAAAGAGGCGCGGAGGGGAAGAGACAGAGUGAGAGAGGCGCGCACGGGGGAGAGACAGAGCGAGAGAGGCAGGUGGGGAGAGACAGAGCGAGAGAGGUGCGGGGGAGAGACAGAGCGAGCGAGAGAGGCGCGGGGGGAGACAGCGCGAGCGAGAGAGGCGCGGGGGGAGAGACAGAGCGAGCGAGACAGGUGCGCAGGAGAGACAGAGCGAGAGAGGCACGGUGGGGGGAGAGACAGAGCGAGCGAGAGAGGAGCAGAGCGGAGAGAGACAGAGCAAGCAAGAGAGCUGUUGUGGGGGGGACAGAGCGAGUGAGAGAGCUGUGGGAGGACCAGCCAAACAAAUUCUCCCAACUAACCCCUAAAAGGAAGUGAACUACCGCACAGAUGCUCUGUGCGGGUUCAGCUAGUUAUUAUUAUUUUUUAACAGAAAAUGUCAUGUCUUUUCAGGAACGAGUUUUCUCUCCGCCUCUCCCUUACUGCUGCUUGUUUAGGGAUUUGCACUCUCACAUUUUGGACAUGUAAUUAAGAGUUCCAUGUCUCCUAUUUUUGCUUGUUUUCAAAAUUCCACCACUGGUCAGAGAGAAUGUCAGAGAGGAUUUAAACAUAACCUGUUUAAAACAUUGGUGAAUUAGAACUCUAAAAGAGAGCAAUUUUUGCCCAUUCCCACUAGCAAAAGGUUGUCCAUUAGGAAUAUCACCUUGUGUAUUCAGCCCAGUUCACAGACUACAAAAGUGUCUAGAGCACUUCUAAAUGCAUAGUUUGACAAAACAGUAAUGUAGAAUAGAGGAAUAUAUAUUAAAUAUUUCCUUUUAAUCAAUCUCCUGGCUUUUGUUUAUUAAAAUGUAAGUAAUUUUACACUCAGUGUCCUAAUACAGUAUAUGACUUGUGCAGCAUAAACCUCUUCAUGUUUAUCCAGUAAGUACCACUGUGCAUUCAGUAGGUUUUCUUUCCAGGAAAGCAUGCAUAGGAUUGCUGCCCUAGUUAAAUUGUUGAUAGUACAGAAAUAUAGUUAAAUGAAUUGAUUAACCAACCGAUUUAUUGGGCUUUUUAAAAAGGCAUUUGAUGAAUCACACUAUUUGGUUGAUAGCUCUAUUAUUCGCCCUUGAUCUUGUUGCUCAUCUGGAUACCUACACAACUAUCUUGAUAGAAGUAUGGAUCCUCUACAAAAUGUCACAGCAUAUCCCUGUGGUGAAAACAAAAAAGGUAUAUGUUGUGUGUGUAUUGUGUGACUGUGUCCACACAUAAAAUAAUCAGCAGAUCAAUAGAUUCAGUGCACAACGCCCCCUUCUGUUCCUCAGGAAAGCCCAAACACAUCAUAUUAUUUAGGGUGCGGCGGGGUGUGUGUGUUAAUACCUCACACCAAGUUUUAAAUAUGUCUAACUCUUUACCCCUCAGAAACAUAACAGUGGUGAGAAACUAAAGGGUUAUAGAAACUUUCCCCCCCUCAGAAGUAGAAGGGUUUGUGACUGUCUUGAAGGAGUAUUCUUCAAGCUAAGAAAUUUACUGCUCUUUUUGUUCGAGCUCUCCUCCCCACCCUCCUUGCCUUUAAGUUCCAUUAGCUCCACCCACCUGGUUGUCUGUUGAAUGCCCUCUGAGUUUGCAAACAUUCCAUCCAUUGAGUUACUUGGGGCAGUUUGGGGGUGGGUUUUUUUGCUGCCAUAUGUUUUUUUCUUUCAGAGUUUUGUGAAACCAGUGUAUCUCUGGGUUAUCCUGAGUCUGCUGGUAACUCCCUCUUGCCUGCAGGUGCUCUGGUUGUGCAUUCAGAAGGAACAAUUCUAGGUGUUUCAGAAAUAGAUGUAAGGUGAAGUCCAAGAGUGUGGCUCUGACUUCCUGUAUCAGCAAGCUAACCCUUAGGAUAGGAUUUGCCAGCUGUUGCCUCAGCAUAAAGUUGCCAAAAAGGACGUCACAUUAUAUGAAAAUAAACUCACUCACUGACUGGUGUGUGAGCAUUACUGGAUACUUGUAUAAACACCAAGCUCUAUAUUUCUGACAAAUAUUUUGCAAAAUUCUGCCAGAGUUUGUCAUCUUUUUGUAACUUCCCAUUGUUAAAUAACCUAUUUCUAAUGGAAACACUAGUCUUCCAAGAAGUGUAUUUAAAUUGAGGAUGUGUAUGAAAUUCUGCAAAAGUGGACAUGGAUGAUGAUUCUAAAUAUGUUUUUGAACAA